rnacentral:rRNA from 1 species
UACAGAGGGUGCGAGCGUUAAUCGGAGUUACUGGGCGUAAAGGGCGCGUAGGUGGUUAUAUGAGUGUGAUGUGAAAGCCCCGGGCUUAACCUGGGAAGUGCAUCGCAAACGAUAUAACUGGAGUACAAGAGAGGGUGGCGGAAUUUCCGGUGUAGCGGUGAAAUGCGUAGAGAUCGGAAGGAACGUCGAUGGCGAAGGCAGCCACCUGGCUUGAUACUGACACUGAGGCGCGAAAGCGUGGGUAGCGAACAGGAUUAGAUACCCUGGUAGUCCACGCUGUAAACGAUGAUAACUAGAUGUAGGAUGGGGAACCAUUCUGUAUCGAAGCUAACGCGAUAAGUUAUCCGCCUGGGAAGUACGGCCGCAAGGUUGAA